CAAAGGUGGAUGCAACAUCAUCGGUGAACUUGGAGUGGAUGAGACAUCGGGGUUCUAUUCGUGAAGCGGACCUUGCAACGGUAACGUCGCCCGCUUGGCCUGCUCGACGCUGUAUUAUAUUCUUGAAUACUGUAGGGUAGCUAGGACGAUUAUUUGUGGAUUACAUCGGUUUCAAUCCUGUUGCAGCUCUGUCUUUCGUUGGUGCAGUCGAAUCUGGGCGGAAUGUGGAAGUCGUGGUGUCGUCUAACUCGGGGUAUCCUGGCCUGCAAUUGCUGUUGAUGUUGAUGGGAUUUUGGUUGCCAGGAGGAUGAGAGGUUCGACCAGGAGGUUGGUUUUAGCAUGAAUUACCAGUAUCUGUCUAGAAUGCUCCAUGAGCAUUCAUCAAAGUGUUUUCUAUCGCAAAACUCAGCGAGCGUUUGAGGAUAUCCGAAAACUAUGAGUUGUGGUUUGAAUGAGUGAACGUUGUUUGCGACAUCAUCCGUGUCCCUUUGGUCCGAUUUGGCCAACCCAACCUGGAUUACUUCUGCGAUAGCUUCUGUGGAUUGCCGACUCUGACUGUCACUAGGAAGUUAGUAUUGAAUUGUGAAGCCGGGUGUUAGUCGCGCAUUCUUCCGAAGUGCCUCGCUAAACGACCACACUGGAUCACAUGCUGCACAACAGGGUCUAGUAGCUAGGAAAGUCUAAAUGCCACUCAAAUUUCAAUCCCUGAAAACUUAUGGUACUGCAGACUAGGCAAUUCAAGCAUUAAUAGGUCUCCAAAAGAUAUUUGACCCAGGUGGGUUAGUCUUGACUUCGAAUGAGGGUUUGUUAACGGAGAAUUUUUUAAGUCAGUGUGUGAAUUUAAUUUUUUUUAGGCUGCGCAGAAGGUGUGAUACAUUUGCGCUGUGUGGGUUGAUAGUGUCGUUAAACCGUGCAAGACGUCGAUGAUUAUUAUCAUGUCACCACUGUUGCAAUUCUUGUGCACGUGACUAUUGUCCAACCUGCGUGCUUUUUAUCGGCCAAUCAUGGGUUUUUUACUAAGAUUUCGUCUCUUCUCUCCGACCCAAUCAAGCAGUUAAAGACCAUCAGAAAUCUCUCUCCUCUUGCAGGUUCAGAUAAGGUGGAUCACAUGUGCAGGAAUUCUUCACAUCACCGCUGAAGAAUGGCUGGGUACACAUGUUAAAGCACGCAAACAGCACAGGGGUAAAAUGCUUACAUACUGAUUGCACCUCCUCUUCUACAAGACCCCUUGAGAGUUGUCAAAAUCUCUUCUUUUCUAAGAAAUCUACAUCACUCAACAUGCAUUGACAGUCUAGUUUCCAGCGAAACAAAGAAGAAAAACAAGUACACAGGAAACCUUCCCCUGCAUCGCUAUGUUUCAGCAUCACUGAUUAUCAGCGGCUGGAAGCUUUUCUAACUCACAUUCACCAUUUAGCAUGUAGUGACAUUGAAGAUUACUGCUGGCCAUGGUGAUCCAAGAAACCAUACUCAUCCGAUCGGAACCUACACAGUGCUGCGCGAGUUUCUACCAAAUGCAUAUCUCUGUUACACUGCGGCGUGUGACAAAAAGCUCCAAUACUGCAAUAGUGGCUAGCUGUUUGCGUUUGAAAUGCAUGUGCUAGUUCAGUUAUCUGGUUAACGUACUUACUUCUGGCUUCUGAGAGCUUUGCAAUGUUGAGUGUACACAAUUGGCAUUAUUUAUGAGGGACAAUAACUGAUCAAAAUGCAAGGCAUUCGGAAAAGCAAUAACAAUAGUAGCCAGUGGCAAACCUAAUAUGCGGCCGAUGCCUACAUCAA